GCUUACGGCCAUACCAGCUGAAGAACGCCUGAUCUCGGAAGCUAAGAAGGCUUUGGCCUGGUUAGUACUUGGAUGGGAGACUUCCUGGGAAUACCAGGUGCUGUAAGCU
ensembl:rRNA 5S_rRNA 5S ribosomal RNA